UACAAGGUGCCUCCUCAUUAAUUUCUUCCGUUGUCACUGUGUGUGAGCAUGCGUAGCAUCAGGAAGGAGCGAGCAAGCAUUAGGAGCCCUUGACAGAAGCCUCUUUUCCCUCCCAGGUCUGGUGAGGGGUGGGGGAGCCUUGCAGGAAAUGAGGACAUGAUCAAAGGUGGACAAUUAUGCAAAUAGGAGUCGACGUGCUGGAUCACGUGGAAGGUUUAUGUUCACCUUUUCCAGGAACUGCCCAACUGGUUUCCACAGGGGCUGCACCAUUUUUCAUUCCCAUAAGCAAUGCAAGAGGGUUCCAUUUUCUCCACAUGCUCAUCAACAGUUGAAGCCUCUUCAACUUACCAUGGGAUGCAGAGAAUAAACACAUGAGCCCUUGGGCAGGUUGCCGUGCAUCCUGAGACUUUCUGCAGGGGCCUUGUCCUCCGGAUUGAGUGCCUGACCAGACUUCAUGCUGAGGCCUUCAUUGAGAUGCGUCAGGAGGGUGGCUGUAAAGGGGCCCGGAGUGCUUCUAGAAAACAACCAUGAACAAACUAUGGUGAAGGAUGCUUCUCCUUUUCCUGGGAAACUUUACCCAAAGCCAUUUUAAAUCCUCUACAGCUAACUUAUCAAUGUGAUGGAAAUUUCUAUUUUAUUGCUAUUACUAGUAAUUUUAGUUUAUUUUGUUUUACCUGUGUGUGUGUGUGUGUGUGUGUGUGUGCACGUGCUACAGAGAAGGCACAGGGAGAUUGAUUCUUUUUCUUUCCCUAAAGUGUCACAAGAGUGUCUACCUCUCUUCCCUUCAAAGGAGCCACCCCCUUUACCUCCUACUGUAAUACAUUCAGGGACCUGGCCUCAUUAUUCCUUCCAAGGAGCUUCAAAUUCGAUGAAUUCCUUCUGAAACCUUUUACAACCCCCUGUGGAGCAGGCCAUCCCAUACCCACCCAUCCCUUUGUUGGCUCUGGAGUUAACUCUCUGCUUGGGAUUGGACAGCCAAUUAAUAGCAAAGCUGGAGGAAGAACAGAGCUUGGGGGAUUCCUGUUUGUUCCAGUGCUACCUGAGUCCAAGCUACUUAAACUCUUGCUGUGGCCCAGGAUGGUGUUCAGGGCCCUCCUCUUUAACACUUAAAUUGAGAGACAGAGAGAGACAGACAGACGGUGUGAGCAGGAGAGGGGUGGAGAGAGAGGGAGACACAGAGUCGGAAGCAGGCUCCAGGCUCCGAGCCAUCAGCACAGAGCCCGACGCGGGGCUCGAACCCACGAACCGUGAGAUCGUGACCUGAGCCGAAGUCGGACGCUUAACCAACAGAGCCACGCAGGCGCCCCUGAACAUGAAUUUUAGCCCGAAGAAUUGCGACGAGAACGUGAGACAGAAGAAGGGGCAAGAGAAGACCGCUCUUCAUAGCUGACUCCUUUUCCCCCAACCUCUGCAAGACGACGAGUUCGAGGGAUGUUUGAUGUCACACUGGGCUCUGUGGCCUGAAAACUAGAAACAGAUACAGAGAGGGUGUGUAAACCAUUAAGAGGACAUCUGGGCCCAGUGGGGAACGGCUCCCAGUGCUGCCAGAUCCCAUGUCCCCAGCUGAUGCUGAAGCCUGGCCCGGGGGAUUCUGGCAGGACUUCUGCACCUUGGGGGACCCGGCCCCACAGGGGGUCAGAAGAAGGGAAGGAAAUCUCCUGGGACAACUGGUCUACCCUACUGAAGGGUAUGGUUGUUCUGACCUCCCUUUGUUUCUCUUUGAAAAGAGAGAAACCGGAAAUGCCACAGACGUAGCUUGCUCUGUAUUCUAGCACACACAGUACAGUGGCCGGCUUGGCCGUGUACGUAAGAUCUUUUUCCUCAGAGUCUGUGCACAGAUAAGCGUGUUGGAAAAUUCUAGCUCCUUUGUGUGGGAUGAAAGCACUCAGAAAUUCAAACUGCGGUGUUCUGCUAGGAACUUAUCAAGGCAAGACUCUAACUAAACACUUCACUUUGACAACAGGCCAGCAAACAGAAAUACCGUAUGUGAAUUUCCUGCUUGUUUUGUUUUUUAUCUGCGUCCUCGUGGGUGGUUCCAUCUAUACUCGACAGCACUCCCUCUUUCUUCCGUACUCAUUUAAUUAUGGAAUUAGUAGAAACUGAUUUAAAAAAUAUGACCCAGAGAAGAGGGCCAGUUGCAUGGGCGAGAGACAGAAGGAUGCCACAUUUGGCUUAGUUCUCUGCUGUCGGUGUCUUGAGAUUCUUAACAAUUUUUGGACAGGGGCCUCCUAAUGUCAUUUACUACGUUUGCAAAUGACGUAGCUGGUCCUGUUAGGAUAUAUGACUCCCCAUCUCGGCUCAAAUGUGCGGUGUGGUUUUAGCCAAAUUUUAUACUCUUUGGGUUUGUGUUCCUUCAUCUAAUUUUUUUCCCCAAAGGCAGUGGCUGCGUAUUUAUUUACUAUGCAUUCCCAGCCCCUAGCACGGGACACGUAUAGGUGCUCAAUAAAUACUGUGGAGAGAAUGCAUUAAUGUCGAAUACAAUCUGUUGCUGAAGAUUUGAGAAAGAAUGCUGAGUUACGGAAAUACAUUUCUUAAGAGCUAUAAAGACAAGCGUACUAAAUGGUCAAUGUGAUCAGGGUGACAAUACCAGCUCUACUCAUCAAUUUCUCUGAUGGCGUUGCUGGUAAUUUACCAAAUAGUGGAUGAGAACAAAAGAGUAUCGCCUUCAGUGAAUAAACCUGGGACCGGUGCCAGACGUUUCAUUGGAUCGUAUGAAUUCUUCAUCUUUACAUGAGCAUUCAUGGAAAAAAAAGCCUCACAAGCUAUAAAAAAAAAAAAAAAAAAAAGAAAGCUCUGGAUAUUACAUUUCAGGCCAAGGUCUAGUUCAGAGGCGAUCUGGGAAAAGUAUCAUUUGGAAAAGCUAUCUGCCUGCAGAAUACUAUACCUCAUUAACAUUUUGGUCUUUUACUCAAGACACAGGCAGAAUUCAAGCCCGGGCCUAGGAAGCAGGAGGAUUUCUUGUACGGAUGUCUCUAGGCAAAAGUGUGGGCCCGGACUGGAUGAAAACUAAGCAGCGGCUCCAGUAAACCUGGGAGGCGUUUGAUCAGGGGCUGGGUUGGAAACUAGAAACAGAUACUAGCUUCAGUCUGCCUUAGACUUGUGGAUUAUCUUCCCUGCCUUUUCCCCCAUCCCCUGGGCACAUCCCAGAGGCUGCCGUUAGAGUGGGCUUUACCACAGGGCUGCUGGGGGAUAGAGGCACAUCUGUGCCUGAGAUGUGAGCAUGUAGCUCUGAUCAACACGGCUGAGCUUUUAAUAUUCCAUACUAAGGUUAGGAGAUGAGGUCACAGACCACGGUAGCGACUGACCAUUGGGUACCCGCUAUGUGCCAGGUAAUGUGUUGGGUGCUUUGUGCGUAUAAUGUUUCUUCUCCAAAGCUUCUGAAAGUACCUAUUAUUUUACCCAUUUUAAAGGUGGGUAGGUUAAUUUGGCUGAGUUCAUGUAUUUACUAGUGGCACCACUGGGAUUUGAACCCAGAACCCGGAUCCCUCAGUCUCUAAAACUUAACGCUUAUGCCCUUUCUCAUCUACUACCUGCCUCAUGGAUUUCAGACGUGGCCGUGACUUGCUGAGAGAAUUGGGGUGGGUGUGUUGUGGGCAAUGGCUCUGAAACUGCUUGCCGUGAGGGCAUAUGCCUAAGGAAGCCACUGUCCCCCGGCCUCAGCCUCAAAAUGGGACACGCGGAACAGACUGGAAGUGGGUAUGAAGCUGGAGAGUCACUGAGCUUUGGGGUCAUUUGUUACACAGCACCAUUACAGCAAUGGCUGGUCAACGCAAGCCUGGUUUCCCUCCCUAGGAAAAGAGAGCUAAGGUAACAUAUUGAUUAAUUUAAUAAAUACUUACUUAUUGAUUA